UGACUCCUCAGAUGGAAAUAUCUCACAAGAGAGUGCAGGGUAUGAGUGGGAGGAUGACUUCUCCCUUUUGCCCACUCCAACUUCCUCAUCCAAGAUGGCUGCCUCCUCCUCAUGCCUAUCCCCCUCCGUACCCAGCCUGCCCUUCACCUCUAAGGCCCCGGAGCCCAAACCAGCAGUGCGGUACUCCCGCUUCACAGUCUCCCCAAGCCACGUGUCUCGCUUCUCCAUCACACACGUCUCUGACUCUGAUGUGGACUCUGGUCCAGGGAGCAGUGAGGAUGGAGACAGAGUAUUAUAGAACCACACAGCCACCCAGAAACUACAGAAACUGCACCAUAUAAACAUGUCUGAGGCUCUAAACACGACUUUUGUUUAGUGCUAUUUUUUGGACAUCAUCUUUCCGUGCCUGAUUGUUUAUGAACCCUUUUUGAAUGGAGUCUGUAUAAUGGAUGUGAAAGCAGAGAAUCAACACCGAUGAGAAUAUAUAAAAUACUAAAUGAUGAUAAUAUACACAUACACAGAAGAAUAUCUGUUUUCAAAAUAACAUGAAUGAUGGAAAAGACAUAUGUUUCAUUCAACGUAUUUUUGGGAACAAAGAGAGAAACUAAAGGACAAACGUGUUGCUCAUUUGCCACCAGAGACACUCAUUAUCAGCAUGUUACGGAGAACCACACAACAUUACCGCUUGUUACGUGGAAGACAGACAAUCAUUUUAUUGAUCAACUGUUUAACAUAGAUAUCAAAACAGAAGACACAAUUUACAGAACACCCCUCUCAGAGACGGAGGGAGUGAAAAGCAAUUAAGGAAAGGACACAAUGAAGGUUUUUUUCCAUCAAAUGAUCAGUGUUUGAAAGUGACUGUACCAAGAACAUAUCUUUGAGACAUGAGUUAACUCGUCUUCAUAAAAUAUCACAAAUAAUGAUUGAAGGAGAACUUUGUAAUUCUAGUUUUUUCACAAAGGAGACGGACCACCACUGUAUAUGGGCCUCCACCUGUCAGUAUGGGUCACUGUUCCCCUCCACCUGUCAGUAUGGGUCACUAUUCCCCCCCAUCUGUCAGUAUGGGUCACUAUUCCCCCCCAUCUGUCAGUAUGGGUCACUAUUCCCCUCCAUCUGUCAGUAUGGGUCACUAUUCCCCUCAAUCUGUCAGUAUGGGUCACUAUUCCCCUCCAUCUGUCAGUAUGGGUCACUAUUCCCCUCCACCUGUCAGUAUGGGUCACUGUUACCCUCCACCUGUCAGUAUGGGUCACUAUUCCCCUCCAUCUGUCAGUAUGGGUCACUAUUCCCCUCUAUCUGUCAGUAUGGGUCACUGUUCCCCUCCAUCUGUCAGUAUGGGUCACUAUUCCCCUCCAUCUGUCAGUAUGGGUCACUGUUCCCCUCCACCUGUCAGUAUGGGUCACUAUUCCCCUCCACCUGUCAGUGUGGGUCACUAUUCCCCCCCAUCUGUCAGUAUGGGUCACUGUUACCCUCCAUCUGUCAGUAUGGGUCACUAUUCCCCUCCAUCUGUCAGUAUGGGUCACUAUUCCCCUCCAUCUGUCAGUAUGGGUCACUGUUCCCCUCCACCUGUCAGUAUGGGUCACUAUUCCCCCCCAUCUGUCAGUAUGGGUCACUAUUCCCCUCCAUCUGUCAGUAUGGGUCACUAUUCCCCCCCAUCUGUCAGUAUGGGUCACUA